rnacentral:rRNA from 1 species
UACGAAGGGGGCUAGCGUUGUUCGGAAUUACUGGGCGUAAAGCGCAUGUAGGCGGCUAUUCAAGUCGGGGGUGAAAUCCUGGAGCUCAACUCCAGAACUGCCUUCGAUACUGUGUGGCUAGAGUAUGGAAGAGGUAGGUGGAACUGCGAGUGUAGAGGUGAAAUUCGUAGAUAUUCGCAAGAACACCAGUGGCGAAGGCGGCCUACUGGUCCAUCACUGACGCUGAGAUGCGAAAGCGUGGGGAGCAAACAGG